rnacentral:lncRNA from 1 species
UUUGAGAUCGUGAAACUUCAUAGCAGAGAAGAACCAAUUUUCUUCGAUAAACUGAAUUGACGUGGUGAAAAUGAAGCCAAACGUUUGUUAAAUUGUUUCAUGUUUCUUUGCAGUUUACACUUCCUCCAUCUAAAAGUCAAAAAUAACUUCAAACCAAAAGCUUUUCAAUUGAAACACACAAUGGUACAUUCCCUUGCACAAAAAAAAUUCAUUACAAAUUAAACCUAGAGCAAAAAAAAAGAAUAGAAAAAUGACACAUUUUUUUAUAAAUCUUUGACCAAAUCGCCCGUUUCAAAAAACGGUGACAGUGGUUGAAAGAUAAUCUAACCUUCGUUUCUUUAUGAAAUUCAUAAAGAGUGAAGUGCAUGAAAAAUUCCUGAAAAAAAAAACCAAAAUAUCCAUGGAAUGAAUGUAAGAUCACACGAAUUCCCAAAAUACCCUUUAAAUAAAAGUUUAUUCCAUUCAUCAAAAAAAAUUUAAAAGUCACCACUCUUUUUUAUCUCCCAUGCUCCGUAAACAAAACCCAAACCAGUAGAUUAAGUUCCUUUUGAUAAUAAUUUGAACCAAAUGCCCCUGCUUGCUUACACACCAACUACAAAUGAGAAAUAACCCAACUUUAAUUAUAGAUCUAAACAAAGGGGAACUGCAGUGACCAUUUAAAUUAAAAUCGACAGGUUAAUCUUUCCGAUCGAUUUAUGGUUCCGUUCAUUUCCAAGGACCAGGAACAUCAAUAUGGGUUUUUGCUCAUUUCCAAUCUCCAAUCAACGAAAACAUGAAGAAAAUCGAAAACAUUAGCUAAUGAAAGUGGUUUUACCUCAAAUUAUAAGUCAAGGUCAAGAAUGCAAACCUGGACAUUGAUAAAACAAAAAAUUAUCAUGGACCGACAAAUGAAAUUGCAAAAUUGGCAAGAAACACGAUUAAUCAUAAAUUUGAAGCAUGGACAUUGAUACACGCCUUAUUAAUACACAAAUAAAUGCUAUUUCUUUCAUUUAGCCCAAAAUUAUAGAAAAUUUAAGCAAAAGGAGAAUUUGCCUCUUUCUUCUUUCCUCCAUAGAAGAGCUUGUAUCCACCAUAAAUAAAUACUCCCCACCCCAUUAAAGAGACAAUAAGAAACUGAAAAUACACACACACACACACAAACAGAUUCAUAUCAUCAAUAAAAAUAUCUGGAUCAUAGUUUUUCAUUACAGUUUGAAGAAUAAAUUCUUUUUUAGCCAAUUCCUAAUUUAUAUAGAAAUUUAGAAACAACAAUGUUCUAUUACUUGUUACUGUUAUUAAACCAACUGACAAGCAACCAACAUCAAAAUUCAAAAGUUAAAACUUAAACAUGUAAUUGAGUGAAAAAAUGCAUAUAAAGAAGGUAAUCCAUGUCAGGCAUUUGAUCGAACAACUUGCCUGCAAUCUGAUUUCUAUUCUUUUAGUUAUUCUAAGUGUUUGAUUUCUAUCCUUCUAUUAACUUUGAGUGGGUUGUUCAUCAUCAAGACUUUCGUUUCAACGAGAUAUAAGGCAUAAGACUAAUCAAAUCAAGAGACAUCUGAGAAAUGUAGAAGAACAUGGAUUAUUGACAUCAGUCAACAGACAACCAAAUUAAGAGAAAAGGAUCAUCACCAUCACCAACGACACUGAUAACCAUGAAAUUGGUAUCAAUAUUGUCGAUUUCAAAAGAAAUCAGAAAAACGGAAGAAAAAGGAACCUGAGGUGAGACGGUGUAGCUGUAGGGUACGAAGCUGGUGGCGGUGAAGGCUGUGAGAAAGGGGACCGACUGGUUCCAGGGUCCUGUGAGAGGUUAUCGACAGCGGUGCCUGAGAAGUUGUAAGCGACGGAGAUUUCUGAAGGCCAUUCGAGAGAGGCUAUCGGCCACAAAGUUUUCCUAUGAUAGAGAAGCCGACAAAGAUUAUUCGUGUCUUAGAGAAUAUCGGUGGUUUGGAGGAACGGUGGAAGGAACUGGAAAUGGAAAUAUAUGCAAAUGGUUUAAAUCGAGAAAAUCGAGAAGCAUCGGAA